UACGAAGGGGACUAGCGUUGUUCGGAUUACUGGGCGUAAAGCGCGCGUAGGUGGAUCGCUAAGUCAGGGGUGAAAUCCCAGGGCUCAACCCUGGAACUGCCUUUGAUACUGACGAUCUGGAGAUCGGGAGAGGUUGGUGGAAUUCCGAGUGUAGAGGUGAAAUUCGUAGAUAUUCGGAGGAACACCAGAAGCGAAGGCGGCCAACUGGCCCGAUACUGACGCUGAGGAGCGAAAGCCAGGGGAGCAAACGGG
rnacentral:rRNA from 1 species